rnacentral:rRNA from 1 species
UACGUAGGGUGCGAGCGUUGUCCGGAAUUACUGGGCGUAAAGAGCUCGUAGGUGGUUUGUCGCGUUGUUCGUGAAAACUCACAGCUCAACUGUGGGCGUGCGGGCGAUACGGGCAGACUGGAGUACUGCAAGGGAGACUGGAAUUCCUGGUGUAGCGGUGGAAUGCGCAGAUAUCAGGAGGAACACCGGUGGCGAAGGCGGGUCUCUGGGCAGUAACUGACGCUGAGGAGCGAAAGCGUGGGGAGCGAACAGG